CUGAGGCUCCGUCCAGUCCGUCCCUCCGCCUCCGCCUUUUCGCCCGAGAGUACUGGUUCCUUCCUUCUUCUCUGGAGUACUGGUUCCUUGGGGUUGUGCUUCGUUCAUCUCCGUCGAUGGCGGAGGAAAGGUCGACCUUCAAGCCAUCCGUGAAAUAAUCACAAGUCAGAUUGUGUUAAACAAGUUUAACGAGCAUCAAGUUCCAUUGGCUAGACAAUUUAUUGCUAAACAUGCUCCACGCUUCCUUCAUUGACCAAAAUUCACAUCUUCUUCUAGUAGUAAAAGAUGAAAAUCCACCAAAACAAGAACACACCAGCAGCUAUCCAGGAAAUGCUUCUCCUACAAGGCAAGAAGAGGCAGGCACAUAACAUUUGGGAAUGAAAGCAUGGAAAAUUGAGUUUCAGUAAAUCAGAACAAUAUUUAUUUGUUAAGGGGAUUAGGCAAAAAAUAACAAAUGGGCAUGUGCUGUGUUUGAAGUGAUAAACAUGAAUUCAGUGUACCUUGGGUGGAAUUAUUUCUGUCUAUUCUUGUCA